GAUGAAGAACGCAGCGAAAUGCGAUAACUAAUGUGAAUUGCAGAAUUCCGUGAAUCAUCGAGUCUUUGAACGCACAUUGCGCCCGCCAGUAUUCUGGCGGGCAUGCCUGUUCGAGCGUCAUUACAACCCUCAGGCCCCCGGGCCUGGCGUUGGGGAUCGGCGGAGCCCCCCGUGGGCACACGCCGUCCCCCAAAUGCAGUGGCGGUCCCGCCGCAGCUUCCAUCGCGUAGUAGCUAACACCUCGCGACUGGAGAGCGGCGCGGCCACGCCGUAAAACACCCAACUCUUCUGAAGUUGACCUCGAAUCAGGUAGGAAUACCCGCUGAACUUAAGCAUAUCAAUAAGCGGAGGA
rnacentral:misc_RNA from 1 species